rnacentral:rRNA from 1 species
GAUGAACGCUAGCGGCAGGCCUAACACAUGCAAGUCGAACGGAGAUAAUUUGAGUUUACUUAGAUUAUCUUAGUGGCGGACGGGUGAGUAACACGUGAGCAACCUACCUUUGAGAGAGGGAUAGCUUCUGGAAACGGAUGGUAAUACCUCAUAACGUAGUUUUACCGCAUGAUAGGACUACCAAAGAUUUAUCACUCAAAGAUGGGCUCGCGUCUGAUUAGCUAGAUGGUGAGGUAACGGCUCACCAUGGCGACGAUCAGUAGCCGGACUGAGAGGUUGAACGGCCACAUUGGGACUGAGACACGGCCCAGACUCCUACGGGAGGCAGCAGUGGGGAAUAUUGCACAAUGGGGGAAACCCUGAUGCAGCGAUGCCGCGUGGAGGAAGAAGGUUUUCGGAUUGUAAACUCCUGUCUUAAAGGACGAUAAUGACGGUACUUUAGGAGGAAGCUCCGGCUAACUACGUG